rnacentral:misc_RNA from 1 species
GCCUUUCUAUUUCAUUCAUUUAAAAUUAAAAUAUCGCAAAAUUGUCUAUUAAGAAUUAAUAUUUUAUUAAUUUGAUUUUGAGAUAUUCGUUUCUUCAAAAAAAAAAUUAAAUUAAUCAGUAUCAAUUUAAUUAAUCAAAAUAGAAUUGACAAAACUUGCCAACCUUUUGACAAAAAAUAAGAUAAAUGACAACAAAAAAAAAUUCUACAAAACAAAAGAAUAAUACUCAAUUUAGUAAUCAAUCCUUAAGAAAAAAGAUAUUAUGUAAUUGUUUUUAUAGACAGAAAAAACCUAGGAAAGUACAAUACUACUUAUUGAAUCAUUGAAAAGAAAAUUAAGGAGCAAAAGCCCCUCUUGGUAAACCAAGAAAGAGUUUAUUGCUCCUUAAUAUUAUUAUUCUAUUUUCAAAACCUCCUAUACACUAGGACCAAGUCUUAUCC